UACGUAGGGGGCAAGCGUUGUCCGGAAUCAUUGGGCGUAAAGCGCGCGUAGGCGGUUACUCAAGUCGGAUGUGAAGCCCUCGGCUUAACUGAGGAAGUGCACCCGAAACUGAGUAGCUAGAGUACUAAAGAGGGUCGCGGAAUCCCGGUGUAGAGGUGAAAUUCGUAGAUAUCGGGAGGAACACCGGUGGCGAAGGCGGCGACCUGGGUAGAUACGUGACGCUG
rnacentral:rRNA from 1 species